GGCAAAGCCAGCGGGGCAGGCAGCACGUUCCGGGACCAGACCAGGGAUGGUGGGUCCCUCGACCUGCCUCCUAAGUGCCUAAGUGCGCAGAUGCUGAGCAGCAGGUGAAAUAAGUGGGGAAAUGCUGUGUGAUGCCCUAGCCAUCUGUUAACGUCUGCUCCUGGGAUGAAGAUGUUUUUAUCGUUCGCUGUGUGCUGGAAAGGCUGUUGGUUCUGAAGAACAGUGGCGUGCAAAGGAUUCCGGGCUGUGAGCCUGAGCCUGUGGAGAAACUGAGGAAAUUGCUAAGAGCGGAAAUGAGUUCCCUGUGGACGUGGACCCAGCGUGGAAGGGUGGGAGGUAGUUGGAGCCGCGAGGCGGGUGCCCGGCCUGGUCAGCAAGAGUUGCGAGGGAUCGAAUGGCAGCUGUGUUUCUGCGGUGAGACCCUGGGAGGGGCCCGUGUGCAGUGAGUCCCUGUGAGAUCAGCGUCCCCCACACUUAGCCGGUGGUGCUGGACUCGGCUGUGCAGCAGAAUCACCAGAGACCUUCUGACCACUUUGGAAGAGGGCCCACCAGGACCGGAGGCGUUAGCCCAGCAGGAGAGGGGCUUGUCUAUGUAACCUCCCCAGAAAACUGGAGACGCAGCGCGAAAGAGAAACACCAGUGAUGAGAACCAUUGAUUGGCUCUCUCCCGGACACCCCGCAUUGGGGAUGGAGGCCACAACUGGGACAUGGGCCCCAACCUGGAAGCCAACCAUAACUGCCUGGUUCUGGUUCAUAGGUUGACACUCAACCAC